rnacentral:rRNA from 1 species
UACGGAGGGUGCAAGCGUUAUCCGGAUUUACUGGGUUUAAAGGGUGCGUAGGCGGGUUGGUAAGUCAGUUGUGAAAUCUCCGUGCUUAACAUGGAAACUGCCAUUGAUACUACUGAUCUUGAAUUUUCUGGAGGUAAGCGGAAUAUGUCAUGUAGCGGUGAAAUGCUUAGAUAUGACAUAGAACACCAAUUGCGAAGGCAGCUUGCUACAGGGAUAUUGACACUGAGGCACGAAAGCGUGGGGAGCAAACAGG